rnacentral:rRNA from 1 species
CAGCAGCCGCGGGAAUACGAAGGGGGCUAGCGUUGCUCGGAAUGACUGGGCGUAAAGGGCGCGUAGGCGGAUCACGCAGUCAGAUGUGAAAUUCCUGGGCUUAACCUGGGGGCUGCAUUUGAGACGCGUGGUCUAGAGUGUGAAAGGGGGUCGUGGAAUUCCCAGUGUAGAGGUGAAAUUCGUAGAUAUGGGGAAGAACACCGGUGGCGAAGGCGGCGACCUGGUCCAUAACUGACGCUGAGGCGCGAAAGCGUGGGGAGCAAACAGGAUUAGAGACCCGAGUAGUCCCUGUCUCUUAUAC